rnacentral:lncRNA from 1 species
GUCACUCUGGCACUUGGUGUCUGGUUAAUUGUCAGCUCUGGGCAGCACAGCGUUGUGGGCUGCUGGAUGAGAGGAACGACCUGGCAGCCAAGGGCCACUGUCUGACAUCCUGCAGUCCUGGACACACAGGAGAGACGUCCCUUCAAUUGUAGACAUCUUGAGUGGCUGUAGUGGGCUCAUCUCAGCUCCUCUCUGAGACCUGCGCCAAAAUUACAACAGCGAACAAUGUGGGAAGAUGCCAGCAGCAGUGACCAUACCACCUGAGCUGGGCGUCACAGGACUCCAAGGCCACACAGUGGUUUCCUGGUAACCAGGGCACAGAUUAAUGACCAGGCUCAGUCUACAGGCGGCCCAAGGCCUGAGCACACCUGAAGGUUGUAGCAGGGAGAGGAGACUAAGCACCAAGUUUAACGAAGGUCCUGCUUCCACUCUCACCACUGCAGUCUCCUGAUGCCUUGGGGCUCAAGUCAGAGCUCACCAUUCAUCAUUCUCUUCAAGGCAUUCAUUCAUUCAUCAACCAAACACUCAAUGCUGCUCAUAGCAGGCAUCUGUUCCAUGGCUCCCCCUUGCACUUAGUAAAGCCCAAAGUCUUCUCUCUCCAUCUCA